GUUAUUUUGUGCCUCUUCUUGUUUUACUGUGUCUUCUCUUCCCCUUUCUCAGCCCAACAAGCCCUAGGGCAGAGGUUCAUUACAUAGAGAUUACAUCCGAUUCACCUGGGAGCUGUCUGCAGGAAUGAUGCCCGCUUUGACCAGUGGAAAGUCGUGCUUAGUGGUCUCAGGUUAUAUACAUAUGGAAGUAAAAGUACAAAGAGUGUUCUGGAAGCAUCUGUACUCAAUUCAUGACACAGUGC
rnacentral:lncRNA from 1 species